rnacentral:lncRNA from 1 species
GCCCCCUUGAAGAAGCAAAUGUCUCACAGGGUGAAAUAAGGCCAAGUGAGCUGGGCACCGUGGUACACGCCUAUAAUCCCAGCAGCUCCGGAGGCUGAGGCGGAGGAUUGUGAUUUCAAAGCCAGCCUCAGCAACUUUGCAAGGCUGUAAGCAACUUAGUGAGACCCUGACUCUAAAUAAAAUAUAAAAAACGUUAUGGGGAUGUGGCUCAGUUGUGAAGUGUGUCGCUGGGUUCAAUCCAGUACCAAAAAAAAGAAAAAAAGAAAAGGAAGAAAAAAAGAAGACGACUCAAUAAGACCUGGCCAUCCAGAGAGCAGUAGCUGUUGGACUCCACUUCUCAGGAACCUGGAGCUCAGAGAGUUCAGUCAGUGCUACAUCUGGAAAAAUGGUAGUUAGCUUUGAACCUGGCUUGUCCUUAACACAGCUUCAUGAGGUAAGUGUUUUACAUAUUGCUGCUUUGUGAUGAGGAAACUGAGUUACACAGAGGCAGAGUAAUUUUCACAAGGCCCUCUAAUAAGUCUCAGACUCAAGACUCCAAGAUAAACCUGACUCCCACAUUAGU